rnacentral:rRNA from 1 species
AUUGAACGCUGGCGGCAGGCUUAACACAUGCAAGUCGAGCGAGCGGCGGACGGGUGAGUAAUGUCUGGGAAACUGCCUGAUGGAGGGGGAUAAGUACUGGAAACGGUAGCCAAUACCGCAUACCAUCAGAUGUGCCCAGAUGGGAUUAGCGAGUAGGUGGGGUAAUGGCUCACCUAGGCGACGAUCCCUAGCUGGUAUGAGAGGAUGAACAGCCACACUGGAACUGAGACACGGUCCAGACUCCUACGGGAGGCAGCAGUGGGGAAUAUUGCACAAUGGGCGCAAGCCUGAUGCAGCCAUGCCGGGUGUGUGAAGAAGGCUUUCGGGUUGUAAAGCACUUGCAUCGAGGAAGCGUUACUCGCAGAGAAAGCACCGGCUAACUCCGUGCCAGCAGCCGCGGUAAUAC